rnacentral:rRNA from 1 species
GGGGGCCCGCAAGCGGUGGAGCAUGUGGUUUAAUUCGAUGCAACGCGAAGAACCUUACCUACUCUUGACAUCCAGAGAACUGAGCAGAGAUGUUCGGGUGCCUUCGGGAACUCUGAGACAGGUGCUGCAUGGCUGUCGUCAGCUCGUGUUGUGAAAUGUUGGGUUAAGUCCCGCAACGAGCGCAACCCUUAUCCUUUGUUGCCAGCGAUUCGGUCGGGAACUCAAAGGAGACUGCCGGUGAUAAACCGGAGGAAGGUGGGGAUGACGUCAAGUCAUCAUGGCCCUUACGAGUAGGGCUACACACGUGCUACAAUGGCGCAUACAAAGAGAAGCGACCCCGCGAGAGCAAGCGGACCUCAUAAAGUGCGUCGUACUCCGGAUUGGAGUCUGCAACUCGACUCCAUGAAGUCGGAAUCGCUAGUAAUCGUGAAUCAGAAUGUCACGGUGAAUACGUUCCCGGGCCUUGUACACACC